rnacentral:rRNA from 1 species
CCUACGGGAGGCAGCAGUGAGGAAUAUUGGUCAAUGGACGAGAGUCUGAACCAGCCAAGUAGCGUGAAGGAUGACUGCCCUAUGGGUUGUAAACUUCUUUUAUAUGGGAAUAAAAUGUUCCACGUGUGGGAUUUUGUAUGUACCAUAUGAAUAAGGAUCGGCUAACUCCGUGCCAGCAGCCGCGGUAAUACGGAGGAUCCGAGCGUUAUCCGGAUUUAUUGGGUUUAAAGGGAGCGUAGGUGGAUUGUUAAGUCAGUUGUGAAAGUUUGCGGCUCAACCGUAAAGUUGCAGUUGAAACUGGCAGUCGUGAGUACAGUAGAGGUGGGCGGAAUUCGUGGUGUAGCGGUGAAAUGCUUAGAUAUCACGAAGAACUCCGAUUGCGAAGGCAGCUCACUGGACUGCAACUGACACUGAGGCUCGAAAGUGUGGGUAUCAAACAGGAUUAGAUACCCCUGUAGUC